rnacentral:tRNA from 1 species
GGGCUGGGGCUCAGGGGUAGAGCGCUUACCUCGAAUGUGCGAGAUGCUGGGUUCAAUCCUCAGCACCACA